rnacentral:lncRNA from 1 species
GUCUGAAGCAAUUUCCUUAGAAGCAGAAUAUUUUAUCCAUACAAGACUUGUGCUUACCUAAUUACACAGAUACAAUUAUUGAAGAAUAUUGAUAGUGUUUCUUAUACUAAGUAAAAGAGUUCUAUUUACAAAGGGUUCAGUAUAAAUAUGUGUCACUAUAGUAAAUUUCCACAAUAAAUAAAAAAUGGGCCUACUUUUCUGCAUUGGCUAGAGGUAUAGGGGGAGGGUUGAGAUCUCACAAACAUGUUUAACCCUGCCGCAUUUUUGCGCCUGUCCCAAGUCAGGAGCCUCUGGCCUUUGUUAGUCUUGUAUUAUUAUAACUUUUAGUUUCUUGAGUACAAUUUGGAGUUUAGUAUGGCGUUCAUUAUCACUGAACCAGUAUAUAUUUGUUUAGGGGCCAGCUGAAGGACGCCUCCGGGUGUGGGAAUUCCUCGUUGCAUUGAAGACCUGUUGGUGACCUUCUGCUGUUGUCUGCUCUAUGGUCGUGUUGUUGUCUCUUUAGCACAUUCCCCAUUUCCAUUCUCAAUUUUAUCUUUUUAUUCCAUUGAUUUGGAAAAGAAAGCAUAAAAAUGAUGCAUAUGAAGCAUCAAUCUCGUGAAUUACUAUGAUUUAAACAAUAUAUUGAUAUACGUUGU